AGUCGAACGCUAUUUAUAGAGUGGCGCACGGGUGAGUAACGCGUGGGAACCUGCCUUUUUCUGCGGGAUAACGGUUGGAAACGACCGCUAAUACCGCAUACGCCCUACGGGGGAAAGGUCCGCCGGAGAAAGAGGGGCCCGCGUCUGAUUAGCUAGUUGGUGGGGUAACGGCCUACCAAGGCGACGAUCAGUAGCUGGUCUGAGAGGAUGAUCAGCCACACUGGGACUGAGACACGGCCCAGACUCCUACGGGAG
rnacentral:rRNA from 1 species